ACCCGCACAAGCGGUGGAUGAUGUGGAUUAAUUCGAUGCAACGCGAAAACCUUACUACCCUUGACAUGUCCGGAAUCCCGAAGAGAUUUGGGAGUGCUCGCAAGAGAACCGGAACACAGGUGCUGCAUGGCUGUCGUCAGCUCGUGUCGUGAGAUGUUGGGUUAAGUCCCGCAACGAGCGCAACCCUUGUCAUUAGUUGCCAUCAUUUGGUUGGGCACUCUAAUGAGACUGCCGGUGACAAACCGGAGGAAGGUGGGGAUGACGUCAAGUCCUCAUGGCCCUUAUGGGUAGGGCUUCACACGUCAUACAAUGGUCGGUACAGAGGGUUGCCAACCCGCGAGGGGGAGCUAAUCCCACAAAGCCGAUCGUAGUCCGGAUCGCAGUCUGCAACUCGACUGCGUGAAGUUGGAAUCGCUAGUAAUCGUAGAUCAGCAUGCUACGGUGAAUACGUUCCCGGGCCUU
rnacentral:rRNA from 1 species